rnacentral:rRNA from 1 species
AUUGAACGCUGGCGGCAGGCUUAACACAUGCAACUCGAGCGAGCGGCGGACGGGUGAGCAAUUUCUGGGACACUGCCUGCUGGCGUGGGUUAACUUCUGCAAACGGUAGCUAAUACCGCAUACCAUCAGAUGUGCCCAGAUGGGAUUCGCUAGUAGGUGGGCUACGGGCUCACCUAGGCGACGAUCCCUCGCUGGUCUGAGAGGAUGACCAGCCACACGGGAACUGAGGAGCGGUGCAGACGCCUACGGGGGGAGGCAGUGGGGAAUAUUGCGCAAUAGGCGCAAGCCUGAGGCAGGCAUGCCGCGUGUGUGAAGAAGGCCUUCGGGUUGUAAAGCACUUUCAGCGAGGAGGCGUUGCUCGCAGAAGAAGCACCGGCUAACUCCGUGCCAGCCGCCGCGGUAAUAC